GAUUAGUGGCGACGGGUGAGUAACACGUGGGCAAUCUGCCCUUCACUCUGGGACAAGCCCUGGAAACGGGGUCUAAUACCGGAUAACACUCUGUCCUGCAUGGGACGGGGUUAAAAGCUCCGGCGGUGAAGGAUGAGCCCGCGGCCUAUCAGCUUGUUGGUGGGGUAAUGGCCUACCAAGGCGACGACGGGUAGCCGGCCUGAGAGGGCGACCGGCCACACUGGGACUGAGACACGGCCCAGACUCCUACGGGAGGCAGCAGUGGGGAAUAUUGCACAAUGGGCGAAAGCCUGAUGCAGCGACGCCGCGUGAGGGAUGACGGCCUUCGGGUUGUAAACCUCUUUCAGCAGGGAAGAAGCGCAAGUGACGGUACCUGCAGAAGAAGCACCGGCUAACUACGUGCCAGCAGCCGCGGUAAUACGUAGGGUGCGAGCGUUGUCCGGAAUUAUUGGGCGUAAAGAGCUCGUAGGCGGCUUGUCACGUCGGAUGUGAAAGCUCGGGGCUUAACCCCGAGUCUGCAUUCGAUACGGGCUAGCUAGAGUGUGGUAGGGGAGAUCGGAAUUCCUGGUGUAGCGGUGAAAUGCGCAGAUAUCAGGAGGAACACCGGUGGCGAAGGCGGAUCUCUGGGCCAUUACUGACGCUGAGGAGCGAAAGCGUGGGGAGCGAACAGGAUUAGAUACCCUGGUAGUCCACGCCGUAAACGUUGGGAACUAGGUGUUGGCGACAUUCCACGUCGUCAGUGCCGCAGCUAACGCAUUAAGUUCCCCGCCUGGGGAGUACGGCGCAAGGCUAAAACUCAAAGGAAUUGACGGG
rnacentral:rRNA from 1 species